rnacentral:rRNA from 1 species
CAAUAGGAAGAGAACUAGUAUAUACAUGCAAGUCGAGCGAACUGAUUAGAAGCUUGCUUCUAUGACGUUAGCGGCGGACGGGUGAGUAACACGUGGGCAACCUGCCUGUAAGACUGGGAUAACUUCGGGAAACCGAAGCUAAUACCGGAUAGGAUCUUCUCCUUCAUGGGAGAUGAUUGAAAGAUGGUUUCGGCUAUCACUUACAGAUGGGCCCGCGGUGCAUUAGCUAGUUGGUGAGGUAACGGCUCACCAAGGCAACGAUGCAUAGCCGACCUGAGAGGGUGAUCGGCCACACUGGGACUGAGACACGGCCCAGACUCCUACGGGAGGCAGCAGUAGGGAAUCUUCCGCAAUGGACGAAAGUCUGACGGAGCAACGCCGCGUGAGUGAUGAAGGCUUUCGGGUCGUAAAACUCUGUUGUUAGGGAAGAACAAGUACGAGAGUAACUGCUCGUACCUUGACGGUACCUAACCAGAAAGCCACGGCUAACUACGUGCCAGCAGCCGCGGUAAUACGUAGGUGGCAAGCGUUAUCCGGAAUUAUUGGGCGUAAAGCGCGCGCAGGCGGUUUCUUAAGUCUGAUGUGAAAGCCCACGGCUCAACCGUGGAGGGUCAUUGGAAACUGGGGAACUUGAGUGCAGAAGAGAAAAGCGGAAUUCCACGUGUAGCGGUGAAAUGCGUAGAGAUGUGGAGGAACACCAGUGGCGAAGGCGGCUUUUUGGUCUGUAACUGACGCUGAGGCGCGAAAGCGUGGGGAGCAAACAAGAUUAGAUACCCUGGUAGUCCACGCCGUAAACGAUGAGUGCUAAGUGUUAGAGGGUUUCCGCCCUUUAGUGCUGCAGCUAACGCAUUAAGCACUCCGCCUGGGGAGUACGGUCGCAAGACUGAAGCUCAAAGGAAUUGACGGGGGCCCGCACAAGCGGUGGAGCAUGUGGUUUAAUUCGAAGCAACGCGAAGAACCUUACCAGGUCUUGACAUCCUCUGACAACUCUAAAGAUAGAGCGUUCCCCUUCGGGGACAGAAUGACAGGUGGUGCAUGGUUGCCUCACCUCCGUCCGGAAAGUUGGGUUAAGCCCGCAACGACGCCACCCUUGAUCUUAGGUGCCACAUUUAUUGG